UCAACUUGAGAGUUUGAUCCUGGCUCAGAACGAACGCUGGCGGCAGGCCUAACACAUGCAAGUCGAGCGAGACCUUCGGGUCUAGCGGCGGACGGGUUAGUAACGCGUGGGAACGUGCCCUUCUCUGCGGAAUAGCCACUGGAAACGGUGAGUAAUACCGCAUACGCCCUUCGGGGGAAAGAUUUAUCGGAGAAGGAUCGGCCCGCGUUAGAUUAGAUAGUUGGUGGGGUAAUGGCCUACCAAGUCUACGAUCUAUAGCUGGUUUUAGAGGAUGAUCAGCAACACUGGGACUGAGACACGGCCCAGACUCCUACGGGAGGCAGCAGUGGGGAAUCUUAGACAAUGGGCGCAAGCCUGA
rnacentral:rRNA from 1 species